rnacentral:rRNA from 1 species
UACGUAGGGUGCAAGCGUUAAUCGGAAUUACUGGGCGUAAAGCGUGCGCAGGCGGUCUUGCAAGACAGAUGUGAAAUCCCCGGGCUCAACCUGGGAACUGCAUUUGUGACUGCAAGGCUGGAGUACGGUAGAGGGGGAUGGAAUUCCGCGUGUAGCAGUGAAAUGCGUAGAUAUGCGGAGGAACACCGAUGGCGAAGGCAAUCCCCUGGACCUGUACUGACGCUCACGCACGAAAGCGUGGGGAGCAAACAGG